GGUUUCCUUCAUUGUAUUGUUGCAUAGACCAACAACGCAAAGAAAUGCUUAAAGGAGACCAUCAGGCAAAAGAUGCUCUCUGAGAAAUCAUUGAAGUUUAAGGAGAACUUGAAAACCAUUGAGAGGGUGGAUGAACGUUUGAAUGACAUCAUUCAGAUUGCUCAAGCUAAGCUGCAGGCAGUAAGGGAUGCCAAGAGUCCACACUUGUUAACAAAAUACUUUGUUUCUGGAAAAAAAAUUACACUUUUUAAGCAUAUCACCCUGAGUUUUCAUUGAAAUCUUAGUGCAUACUUUAUUUCUGUCCUGUGUGGAGAUACUG